ensembl:lncRNA
GAGAGGUGGAGGAGAAAGAGAGAGGAAGAGACACAGAGAGAGAGAAAGGUGGAAGACAGAGAGAGAGAGAGAAAUGAUAGCGAGAGAAUGAGACACAGAGAGAGAGAGGUGGAGAGAGAGACAGAGACAGAGAGAGACAUAGAAAGAGAGAGAGGUGGAGGAGAAAGAGAGAGGAAGAGACACAGAGAGAGAGAAAGGUGGAAGACAGAGAGAGAGAGAGAAAUGAUAGCGAGAGAAUGAGACACAGAGAGAGAGUGGUGGAGGGAGAGACAGAGACAGAGAGAGACAUAGAAAGAGAGAGAGGUGGAGGAGAAAGAGAGAGGAAGAGACACAGAGAGAGAGAAAGGUGGAAGACAGAGAGAGAGAGAAAUGAUAGCGAGAGAAAGAGACACAGAGAGAGAGAGGGGUGGAGGGAGAGACAGAGAGAUAGAGAUAG